GGUCAAGUUACAAAGGGCUCACGGCGGAUACCUUGGCACACAGAGGCGAUGAAGGACGUGGUUACCUGCGAUAAGUCUCGGGGAGCUGGAAACACGCUUUGAUCCGGGAAUUUCCGAAUGGGGCAACCCUUAAUACGGCCAGCUGAAUCCAUAGGCUGGCACGAGCCGA
rnacentral:rRNA from 1 species